GGUCAUGUGUUCUAAGUACAACCGCUGAGCUCUUUCUGGACUUCAGAGUUCAUGCUUAGCUUUCUUUUCCUCUCCGAUGUGUGUGUUUGUUUAAAAGCACAUCUCCACUCAAUCACACGUAUAGAGCCGGGAAAUGAGCUUGUCAUUCAUUCAGCAAAUGUGAAGUCUGCAGAGUGCCAGGCACUCGCCAGCAAUGCUGUACAGCUACUUGAAGACUGAGGAUCUACAAGGGCAUGCAACCCAGUGAGGAUUCACCUGUGUCAAUCAGUUUGCUAUGCAUUUUCUACACAUUAUGUCACAUAAACUUCAUGAAAAACCAUAGGAGUUUUCCACCAUCAUGAGCUUCUGGAAGCAUUCCAGUGCAAGUCUACGUGAGCCGUGUGUGCAUUGUUCUCUGAUGCAUUUCUCAGAGUGGUAUGCCAGGUCUUCUGGUCAGGACAUGUGUCUCAUGUUUAAGGACUCCACCCCACACUUUUCAUUUUGCUGUCAUAGUGAAAGACUAGUGGGCUCUCCCAUGGAGCCUGGAGCCAAGGUCCCCUCUCCCACCUUUGCUGAUAUGCACUGCCACUUUCUCAUUGUUGGCCUGUGGUCAGUAUGAUUUGAAGCACCUGAGCCUGAGAAGAUGAAGCCAUCAUUGUCAUCUGCUGCCACUUCACCCACUCUUCCCAUGCACCCCUCGGGCUAUGAGCCUCUCACUUCAUACAUCAGACCCAUCACACCAGCAAGCAGUCACUGGGACCUGAGGUGUCAUCAACUUGAGUAAUAAAGCUGUCCUUAGCGUUUUUCUGCAUGUGCUUCUCCCUUGGGAAUGCCAAAGGAGAAGGGAUGCCAGAGGCAAGACAGCAUGAGCACCCCGAGUCCCGUGGCAAAGGCUCAGCAACACACCCCGUCGGCUGCCUUCCUGGCCCACAUCCAUAUGCAGAAGUAGCCCACGGCACACCUCAUGUGCAAA